GAAAUGCGAUAAGUAAUGUGAAUUGCAGAAUUCAGUGAAUCAUCGAAUCUUUGAACGCACCUUGCGCUCCUUGGUAUUCCUUGGAGCAUGCCUGUUUGAGUAUCAUGAAAUCUUCAAAGUAAAUCUUUUGUUAACUCAAUUGGUUUCUACUUUGGUAUUGGAGGUCUUUGCAGCUUCACACCUGCCCCUCUUUGUUCAUUAGCUGGAUCUCAGUGUUAUGCUUGGUUCCACUCGGCGUGAUAAGUUAUCUAUCGCUGAGGACACUGUAAAAGGUGGCCAAGGUAAAUGCAGAUGAACCGCUUCUAAUAGUCCAUUGACUUGGACAAUACUUUUAUGAUCUGAUCUCAAAUCAGGUAGGACUACCCGCUGAACUUAAGC
rnacentral:misc_RNA from 1 species